UUACCGUAGGUGAACCUGCGGUAGGAUCAUUACUGAACACUUUUUUCUUUUCCGAAAGAAAAAAAACUUUCUUUUAAAUAUUCUCCCCUGUGCAAUUCAACUAAAUUUAAAUAGAUGCUGCACGUCUUUUUUCAUGAAAGUCGUGCGCAUCUAGACCAAAACUUUUUUACAUCCAAAUACUCUAAUAAAAGGAGAACACUUUUUCAGGUGUUUUCUGACAAAAGUUAUUUUAAAACAAAAACAACUUUUAACAAUGGAUCUCUUGGUUCUUACAUCGAUGAAGAACGCAGC
rnacentral:misc_RNA from 1 species